UACGUAAGGGGCGAGCGUUGUCCGGAAUCAUUGGGCGUAAAGGGCGCGUAGGUGGCCCGGUCAGCGUGCGGUGAAAGCUCGGGGCUCAACCCCGAGUCGGCCGUGCGAACUGCUGGGCUUGAGCACUGUAGAGGCAGGCGGAAUUCCGGGUGUAGCGGUGGAAUGCGUAGAGAUCCGGAAGAACACCGGUGGCGAAGGCGGCCUGACUGGGCAGUGGCUGACACUGGGGCGCGACAGCGUGGGGAGCAAACAGG
rnacentral:rRNA from 1 species